rnacentral:rRNA from 1 species
CCUACGGGUGAGCAGCAGUAGGGAAGAUUGCGCAAUGGGGGAAACCCUGAAGCAGCAAAGCCGCGUGGAGGAUGAAGGUUUGCGGAUUGUAAACUCCUUUUGUGAGAGAAGAGAAUGACGGUAGCGAACGAAUAAGCACCGGCUAACUCCGUGCCAGCAGCCGCGGGAAGACGGAGGGUGCAAGCGUUACUCGGAAUCACUGGGCGUAAACAGCGCGUAGGCGGGCUAGCAAGUCAGAUGGGAAAUCCUAUGGCUUAACCCUAGAACUGCAUUUGAAACUGUUAGUCUUGAGUAUGGGAGAGGUAGGUGUAAUUCUUGGUGUAGCGGUCCAAUCCGUAGAUAUCACGAGGAAUACUCAUUGCGAAGGCGCCCUGCUAGACCAUAACUGACGCUGAUGCGCGACAGCGUGGGGCGCAAACAGGAUUAGAUACCCUGGUAGUC